GCUUGGAGUACCCAUAAUACAGUGAGCCCACCUUCCUGGUCCCCAGACAUUUCAGAAGGUCGGGAAAUUUUUAAACCCAGGCAGCUUCCUGGCAGUGCCAUUUGGAGCAUCAAAGUGGGCCGUGGGUCUGGAUUUCCAGGAAAGCGGAGACCUCGAGGUGCAGGACUGUCGGGGCGAGGUGGCCGAGGCAGGUCAAAGCUGAAAAGUGGAAUCGGAGCUGUUGUAUUGCCUGGGGUGUCUACUGCAGAUAUUUCAUCAAAUAAGGAUGAUGAAGAAAACUCUAUGCACA